UACGUAGGGAGCAAGCGUUGUCCGGAAUCAUUGGGCGUAAAGCGCGCGUAGGUGGCCUCAUAAGUCCGCUGUGAAAGUCAAAGGCUCAACCUUUGAAAGCCGGUGGAUACUGUGAGGCUAGAGUACGGAAGAGGCGAGUGGAAUUCCUGGUGUAGCGGUGGAAUGCGCAGAUAUCAAGAGGAACACCUGCGGCGAAGGCGGGUUGCUGGGCCGACACUGACGCUGAAGCGCGAAAGCCAGGGGAGCGAACGGG
rnacentral:rRNA from 1 species